AUGAGCCGCCUCACGCAUAGCCAGGGGCAGCCAGGGAGCCACCGCCAGCAUCCGGGAAGUGGGGCACAGGCUACAGCAGCAAGCAUCCCCGUGCCUCCAGAAGCUCUCAAAGUAUCCAUUCCUUACCAACUUCCCGUCAUCGCUUUAGAUGGUUUCAUCAAAAGGGAAGGAAGGGUAGGAAUUUCAAAUGGCCAGAGUUGGGAUUUUAGAGCCACACCCUUUUUCACUCUCUGCGAUUCUCUUUUCGAACGAGAGGAAACUCACUGCCACGCACGAGCUGAGCCAUGUUCAUUGCCGUCGGGCUCCAUACUUGAUUAUCCUGAACCCGACCGUUGCGACUUUUUGCUUCUCUCUUCAGCCCUGUGUUUCUAGAGUUCACCAUUAACUGGAUCCAUUUUGUUCUUUAUAAGAAGUUUUAAGAGUUUGACCCUUGUCUUAAAAACCAAUCUGACAGAAGACACAACUUACACACACACACACAAGCUGGCAGAUGUUCAGCAGAGCCAGAAUUCUGAAAGGUGUCUGUGGCUGUACGAGGGGUGAGUCACAUGGCCACUUCAUGGGUCUGGGGUUCCACUUCACUGUCAUCUUUGGAAAAUAAUACGAUGACCUCUGGGGGCCCAUUUCUAAGCUGUAGAAUCACCUGGUUCAGAUCCAUCACAGAAUAAGCCUGUGAUCCAUGAGGCACCAACCAAGUUCAAGCUGGGGAAAUUGCACGACAAAAAAAUAGAUCUAGAAAAGUAGAUCUAGACCCAGAAGCAAGCAGCGUCGGGUGGAGCUGAGGUCUGGAAGGAUGGAGGCCAGGAGGGUGAGGGUGAAUAAGUGGGUUUUUUUUGUUUGUUUUUUAAGUGAAGAGGUAAAAUGAAUUCUCCUACUGGGUGGUGCAGUUCUCCUAGGGACACGUUUAAGUAACUUGUAUGAUGCCAAAACAUACCACGGCCCCAGAAUUUACCCCCUGAGCAGUGAUGGACAUCUUGAAAUUAGGAACUGUUUUCAUCUUUGAAUUUUCAGACACUGAUGCAGUGCCCUGCAGGUGAUUACCAAAUGCUGGAUAAAUAAAUUAAAAUGCUCUUAACUGAAGUAUGGCAAUAUUCUCUGACACAGGGUAGCCUGUUCUCAGGCACAGCUAUAAAGGAGGUGAUGUUGGUGACACUCAGCCUCUUGUCUUUCUGCAUCCAGUCUCCCCAUCCUUCCCUGUCAGUGCCAACCACUUGCCUCAGAGUUCUAUCCCCAUUUUACACAUAAACAGAACUUGACCGAUACCCCGAGGGUUCGGUUGGGAGUACACAUGGGACUUGGAAGUGAGCAGGAGUGCCCAGAGAGUAGCGACAACCUACGGAAGGGCAGGUGUAAGUAAGCAGUAAGCAGUAAGCAGUACCCGGUCGGGGUCUGAGGCGCACCUCUUCCCUUGCAUCAGGGGCCCUUCCUAAUCCCUCCCACCUCCCCCCUACCAGUAGGCUGCACACCAGAGUUCUCCAGAAUCACCACUAUGCUACCUGAAAGCCUCAGAUCCCUUCCACCUGGGAAGGUCCUGCCAACUGACCUGGUAUCAUGCUACUUCCUCCACUCAUCUGUUGCUGCAAAACAAAUCAUGGAAGCUUUCAGCUACCACUGUUAUCUCUGGGGGCCAACUGGGCUCAGCCGGUGCUUAUGUGGCAUCAACUAGAUGCACUCACUGGGCUGCAUUCAGCGUGGCUGGGCUGGGCUGGGCUGCAAGGUCUAAGAAGGCUUUGCUGGCUCACCAGGUGCACCAGCACUCUUCCGGGCUGGCUGGGGCUUCCUCACAGCAUGGUGGCCAUUGGGUGAUCAGACUGUUACAUGGUAACUGAAAGAAGCAACUGCCAGACCCCUUAAAGGCUAGGGACUGCCACAGGUCACUUCUGUUGCAUUUUAUUGGCCAAAGCAAGUCACCGGGCAGCCAGGUUCAAGGGGCGGGGUGGGGGUGGGGUUCAACAACAAAAGGAAUCAAUGGAAGCCAUCUUUGGAGACUAUCUACCACAAUACCUUCCAGAGCCAUCAAAGAAAUGCAAUUUGUCUUUCGAUCUUUGGCACUCAGUAAAUGCCAAUAAAUGUCAGAUGCAUGAAUUAACAAACGAAUCCAGGGAUACCCACAAGGUACUAAGAGUCAAUCUUUUUAUUAUUAUUAUUUUUUUUUUAUUUUAUUUUUUUUUUUAGUGGAAAAAGUAUAUAGGACUCAAAAGGAUUUGAAAGUUCUACAACCGAUAAGCCUUUAGCCCAGACGACAUCUGUCAGCUGGCUGCAAAUCUGAGUCAUUCACAUUGUUUUCUCCUCUCUCAUUUCCUGUCUUCCACAAUAUUUGCCAUGAAGAAAAUUGAUUGCCCUUCAUCUUUGUUACUUUGUCUUGCUUUUUCGUGAUCAAUAAAUAAGAUUUUUACUCUCUUCUUUUUAAACCUUCUUCUAGACAUUAGAAAGUAAGAGGACAGGGACCAAAAGAGCACAUGUAAGGA
rnacentral:lncRNA from 1 species